rnacentral:rRNA from 1 species
AGCGAACGCUGGCGGCAGGCCUAACACAUGCAAGUCGAACGAAGUCUUCGGACUUAGUGGCGGACGGGUGAGUAACACGUGGGAACGUACCUUUUGGUUCGGAACAACUCAGGGAAACUUGAGCUAAUACCGGAUAAGCCCUUUGGGGGAAAGAUUUAUCGCCAUUAGAGCGGCCCGCGUUAGAUUAGCUAGUUGGUGAGGUAAAGGCUCACCAAGGCUACGAUCUAUAGCUGGUCUGAGAGGAUGAUCAGCCACACUGGGACUGAGACACGGCCCAGACUCCUACGGGAGGCAGCAGUGGGGAAUCUUGCGCAAUGGGCGAAAGCCUGACGCAGCCAUGCCGCGUGAAUGAUGAAGGUCUUAGGAUUGUAAAAUUCUUUUACCAGGGACGAUAAUGACGGUACCUGGAGAAAAAGCCCCGGCUAACUUCGUGCCAGCCGCCGCGGUAACAC